GAAGUGAUGCAUCUCAGUGGUAGAGCACUUUCCUUGCAUGUAGAAGAUCCCAGGUUCAAUCCCUGGCAUCUUCA